GUGGGUAUAGCGUAGUUGGUUAUCGCGCCAGAUUGUGGUUCUGGAGAUCAUGGAUUCGAAUUCCAUUACCCACCCUA
rnacentral:tRNA from 1 species